AGUGGCGGACGGGUGAGUAACGCGUGAGAAUCUGCCUUCAGGUCGGGGACAACAGAGGGAAACUUCUGCUAAUCCCGGAUGAGCCUUAGGGUAAAAAAUUUAUUGCCUGGAGAUGAGCUCGCGUCUGAUUAGCUAGUUGGUAAGGUAAAAGCUUACCAAGGCAACGAUCAGUAGCUGGUCUGAGAGGAUGAGCAGCCACACUGGGACUGAGACACGGCCCAGACUCCUACGGGAGGCAGCAGUGGGGAAUUUUCCGCAAUGGGCGAAAGCCUGACGGAGCAAGACCGCGUGGGGGAGGAAGGCUCUAGGGUUGUAAACCCCUUUUCUUUGGGAAGAACAAAAUGACGGUACCAAAGGAAUCAGCCUCGGCUAACUCCGUGCCAGCAGCCGCGGUAAUACGGAGGAGGCAAGCGUUAUCCGGAAUGAUUGGGCGUAAAGCGUCCGCAGGUGGCAAUGUAAGUCUGCUGUCAAAACCCAGGGCUCAACUCUGGUCAGGCAGUGGAAACUACAUAGCUAGAGUUCGGUAGGGGCAAAGGGAAUUCCCGGUGUAGCGGUGAAAUGCGUAGAGAUCGGGAAGAACAUCUGUGGCGAAAGCGCUUUGCUAGACCGAAACUGACACUCAGGGACGAAAGCUAGGGGAGCGAAUGGGAUUAGAUACCCC
rnacentral:rRNA from 1 species